UGCUUUGGAAUGAUGAAGACAAGAUUCAGAGGCAUCUUCCUGCAAGUGCUGGAGGUGCAUCACACCUUUGUACCUCAUGGAAGUGAACACUUAGCAGCAUUUUAUAUUCCUUGGAAUAUAUUUCUAUUAAUUUAUAUAUUUAAUUUAUAUAUUACAGGUUGUCACAGCUUGGGCCAUCCUCCACGAUAUCUGCUCCUGUGCUGAUGACACCGAGGCCCCAGACGACGAUGUGGAGGUGAUGAUGAGGAGGAAGCUGGUUUGAAGGUCACCAGUGGUGCUCUCUGGCAGGACCAACUACCUACUGAGGAUUCUGCCCUGGGGGAGGUACCACCUGACCUUGAUUACUUUUAACAGCAUCCGUCCACAGCCAACCCUGUAAACCCUGAAGAUGGACGAUGCAGUCUACAGUGAAGAUGCAUCCUGAAACUCUGCAGACCAUCCUGCAAGAUGUUCCAAUCACCACCCAGAAAGUUCCAUCCCCGCGUCUCAGUUGAAGCAUCUCAUCCAUGUCAACCAUCUUUGUAAAUAGUGUUACAAUGAAUGACGAUUACUGUGUUGGAUUUAAACCUUUAUUUAUAUUCAAAAACAAACAUUUUAAUACAUCAAAUAUAAACUUCAUUUAUUCUCAGAAAUCAAAUGUGGUUAUUUGUUGGCAUUUCUUUCCAGGAGAAUAUAAAGUUGGUCAAAAGUCUCCCUCCUCUCUCAUGCCCUCUGUUCUUCUGCCUCAUGUCCUCUCUGAUCAGGUCUAGAAGCUCAUCACUAGUCGCGUUUCCAUUAACUCUGAAAUUUCGCAAAUUGCAAUUUUGAUACAUUCUCCUAAUGGAAACCACAAUUCUGAAAA